GACGAACGCUGGCGGCGUGCCUAAUACAUGCAAGUUGAGCGCUGAAGGUUGGUACUUGUACCAACUGGAUGAGCAGCGAACGGGUGAGUAACGCGUGGGGAAUCUGCCUUUGAGCGGGGGACAACAUUUGGAAACGAAUGCUAAUGCCGCAUAAAAACUUUAAACACAAGUUUUAAGUUUGAAAGAUGCAAUUGCAUCACUCAAAGAUGAUCCCGCGUUGUAUUAGCUAGUUGGUGAGGUAAAGGCUCACCAAGGCGAUGAUACAUAGCCGACCUGAGAGGGUGAUCUGCCACAUUGGGACUGAGACACGGCCCAAACUCCUACGGGAGGCAGCAGUAGGGAAUCUUCGGCAAUGGACGAAAGUCUGACCGAGCAACGCCGCGUGAGUGAAGAAGGUUUUCGGAUCGUAAAACUCUGUUGGUAGAGAAGAACGUUGGUGAGAGUGGAAAGCUCAUCAAGUGACGGUAACUACCCAGAAAGGGACGGCUAACUACGUG
rnacentral:rRNA from 1 species